rnacentral:rRNA from 1 species
CCUACGGGUGGCUGCAGUGGGGAAUAUUGCGCAAUGGGCGAAAGCCUGACGCAGCGACGCCGCGUGAGGGAUGAAGGUCUUCGGAUCGUAAACCUCUGUCAGCAGGGAAGAACGGUCACUGUGCUAAUCAGCAGUGAAUUGACGGUACCUGAGUAAGAAGCCCCGGCUAACUACGUGCCAGCAGCCGCGGUAAUACGUAGGGGGCAAGCGUUAUCCGGAUUUACUGGGUGUAAAGGGAGCGUAGACGGCAGUGCAAGUCUGGAGUUAAAGGCGGGGGCUCAACCCCCGGACUGUUCUGGAAACUGUACGGCUGGAGGGCAGGAGAGGUAAGGGGAAUUUCUAGUGUAGAGGUGAAAUGCGUAGAUAUUAGGAGGAAAACCAGUGGCGAAGGCGGCUUACUGGACUGUAACUGACGUUGAGGCUCGAAAGCGUGGGGAGAAAACAGGAUUAGAUACCCUUGGAGUC